GAGGAAAGUGGCGGACGGGUGAGUAACGCGUGAGGAACCUGCCUUGAAGAGGGGGACAACAGUUGGAAACGACUGCUAAUACCGCAUGACGCAUAGAGGUCGCAUGAUCUUUAUGCCAAAGAUUUAUCGCUUCAAGAUGGCCUCGCGUCUGAUUAGCUAGUUGGCGGGGUAACGGCCCACCAAGGCGACGAUCAGUAGCCGGACUGAGAGGUUGAACGGCCACAUUGGGACUGAGAUACGGCCCAGACUCC
rnacentral:rRNA from 1 species